rnacentral:rRNA from 1 species
UACGGAGGGUGCAAGCGUUUAUCCGGAUUUACUGGGUUUAAAGGGUGUGUAGGCGGGCAUUUAAGUCUGGGGUGAAAUCUCCGAGCUCAACUCGGAAACUGCCUUGGAUACUAUUUGUCUUGAAUUAUGUUGAGGUUGGCGGAAUAUAACAUGUAGCGGUGAAAUGCAUAGAUAUGUUAUAGAACACCGAUUGCGAAGGCAGCUA